UGGAUCCAGACUUUGAUUAUGGCUCAGGACGAACGCUGGCGGCGUGCUUAACACAUGCAAGUCGAACGGGGCACCCCUGAAGGAGUUUUCGGACAACGGAAGGGAAUGCUUAGUGGCGGACUGGUGAGUAACGCGUGAGGAACCUGCCUUUCGGAGGGGGACAACAGUUGGAAACGACUGCUAAUACCGCAUGACACGUCGGGGUCGCAUGGCUCUAACGUCAAAGAUUUAUCGCCGAAAGAUGGCCUCGCGUCUGAUUAGCUAGUUGGUGAGGUAACGGCCCACCAAGGCGACGAUCAGUAGCCGGACUGAGAGGUUGGCCGGCCACAUUGGGACUGAGAUACGGCCCAGACUCCUACGGGAGGCAGCAGUGGGGAAUAUUGGGCAAUGGACGCAAGUCUGACCCAGCAACGCCGCGUGAAGGAAGAAGGCUUUCGGGUUGUAAACUUCUUUUAAGGGGGAAGAGCGGAAGACGGUACCCCUUGAAUAAGCCACGGCUAACUACGUGCCAGCAGCCGCGGUAAUACGUAGGUGGCAAGCGUUGUCCGGAUUUACUGGGUGUAAAGGGCGUGCAGCCGGAGAGGCAAGUCAGAUGUGAAAUCCGCGGGCUCAACCCGCGAACUGCAUUUGAAACUGCUCCCCUUGAGUAUCGGAGAGGUAACCGGAAUUCCUAGUGUAGCGGUGAAAUGCGUAGAUAUUAGGAAGAACACCAGUGGCGAAGGCGGGUUACUGGACGACAACUGACGGUGAGGCGCGAAAGCGUGGGGAGCAAACAGGAUUAGAUACCCUGGUAGUCCAUGCUGUAAACGAUCGAUACUAGGUGUGCGGGGACUGACCCCCUGCGUGCCGGAGUUAACACAAUAAGUAUCGCACCUGGGGAGUACGAUCGCAAGGUUGCAACUCAAAUGAAUUGACGGA
rnacentral:rRNA from 1 species